rnacentral:rRNA from 1 species
UACAACAUAGCAUUAAUGCAUUAGAUCCCAUUAGAAAUCUAUAGUUAAGUGCACUCAAGCUAGAGUAGUAUUGGGAUGGGUUACCACCUAGGAAGUCCUAGUGUUUUAC